rnacentral:lncRNA from 1 species
GCGGCCGCUGCCGCAGCUACUCACCCUGUGCCCUCGAACUUCCGCAGCCCGCUUCGGCAGCGGCUGGGACCUGGAACAAAGAGGCCCUGGUAGCCAAUGGCAGCGGGACAGCGCCGGGUAGUGGCCAAUCAGCGCGCGCCGCACGCACCUUCGCAGCCUGAGCGUGCAGCUAGCAAGAGUCCUGAACACUGCCAAGGAAUCUUCUCUCACAUCCUCAAUGCCAACGAAGGCUACUACUACAUUGUUUUGUGAGCACUCAACACCAAAACAUGAGGCUCACAGGCACUACUGCAGAAGUAGGUGGUGUCCUUGUUUGGGAAACAGAGUUGCUUUGGUCCUACUAAGUGGAGUAAGGCGAGGCUGCUCUUGCUUCUUGUGUAGUCUAGUUUCAACCUCUGGUCUCACAGAAGCCUGGGCCACCAAGAACCCAAACUAUUCUUUCUUUC